rnacentral:rRNA from 1 species
ACGAAGCAGCGAUGCAGAGCAAACCCCUAAAAAAUCGUCUCAGUUCGGAUUGCAGGCUGCAACCCGCCUGCAUGAAGCCGGAAUUGCUAGUAAUCGCGGAUCAGCAUGCCGCGGUGAAUACGUUCCCGGGCCUUGUACACACCGCCCGUCACACCAUGGGAGUCGGUAACACCCGAAGCCAGUAGCCCAACCGCAAGGAGGACGCUGUCGAAGGUGGGAUUGAUGACUGGGGUGAAGUCGUAACAAGGUAUC